GACGAACGCUGGCGGCGUGCCUAAUACAUGCAAGUAGAACGCUGAAGAGAGGAGCUUGCUCUUCUUGGAUGAGUUGCGAACGGGUGAGUAACGCGUAGGUAACCUGCCUUGUAGCGGGGGAUAACUAUUGGAAACGAUAGCUAAUACCGCAUAACAAUGGAUGACACAUGUCAUUUAUUUGAAAGGGGCAAUUGCUCCACUACAAGAUGGACCUGCGUUGUAUUAGCUAGUAGGUGAGGUAAUGGCUCACCUAGGCGACGAUACAUAGCCGACCUGAGAGGGGGAUCGGCCACACUGGGACUGGGACACGGCCCAGAAUCCUACGGGAGGCAGCAGGAGGGAAUCUUCGGCAAUGGGGGCAACCCUGACCGAGCAACGCCGCGGGAGUGAAGAAGGUUUUCGGAUCGUAAAGCUCUGUUGUAAGUCAAGAACGGGUGUGAGAGUGGAAAGUUCACACUGUGACGGUAGCUUACCAGAAAGGGACGGCUAACUACGUG
rnacentral:rRNA from 1 species